UACGUAGGCAGCAAGCGUUGUUCGGAGUUACUGGGCGUAAAGGGUGUGUAGGCGGUUUUUUAAGUUUGGUGUGAAAUCUCCCGGCUCAACUGGGAGGGUGCGCCGAAUACUGAGGGACUAGAGUACGGGAGAGGAAAGUGGAAUUCCUGGUGUAGCGGUGAAAUGCGUAGAUAUCAGGAGGAACACCGGUGGUGUAGACGGCUUUCUGGACCGACACUGACGCUGAGACACGAAAGCGUGGGGAGCGAACAGG
rnacentral:rRNA from 1 species